UGCGUAAACUUUUAUGGGUCAGAUAACGCAAAAAGUGAACAUACCUGUCUCUCAGAAAUCUGAUAUGACAGUAAUACAGUAAAAACAUUUUUGAUAUCAGUGUCCAAAAUACGUUUAGGGGCACAUGAAGCAUCUCUUGAUUAAAAUUUGCUUUUGACUAGUGUGAUGUAACUUUUGCCAUCGAGUGGAACAGCAUUCUCCAAAGGCCCCCCCCCCCUACACCGCUAUCAAACCACGCCCCUGACUUGAGAAAGACCGCUGUUAGAUUAACUGCUUACGUUAUAUGUAUCGUCUUUUUUUUUUUUGGUCUCAAUUAGAUGAAAUUGGAGAACACACACGGCACCGGUUGAGGAUGACUGCAUUGAAAGGUGGCUUGAAUCAGGUAAGUCCUCACUGAGGUCUCGAGCUGCUGUAACCCGUCCACUUUAUGUCCUCGCAGGUGAAUCUGGCGAACUCCGGGGGGGGGGGGGGUUGUUGAACCAACGCGCCCCACGCUGAUCUUCAGUGACAAUCCCAUCCCAGCCUGCCUCCCCCCCCCUGAGGAACCACAAGACACUUGAGCUAUGCGAGUGAGAGGAAGUCGCAACAGUUUGAAGAGCGACCGGCGGGCUCCAUUUUCACUCUGACAGGCGGAGCGGAGCGGAGCGGCGUUUUUUUUUUUUUUUUUUUUUUUUUUUUACGCACAGCCCGCUGCACCGCGGGCCAUUGGAGGAACACUUCGCUGGUGUUUGCUUCACAGCGUGCGCGACAUUCUCACGGAGCAGCACAAGACACUCAGCAUCGGAUACUUACUUACCUGGAAGAAGCCUUUUUAAAUCCCGGUUUAAAGUCAUCUGGCGGCCGGAUUGGUGAAGUGCGUAAAAGAAUUACGCACGGGAUUUUUCACUUUUUUGCAAGCUUUUUUUUUUUUGUUUCCAGUUUCCAACAUUGACUUUGAAGAGCGGCCUCAUUAAAGACGAAGACUGAAAGUUUCGCCUAUGUUAUGAGACUUUCCCCGUCCACGCUGACUUGGAGGCAGGACUGAACAGGGGGGGCGAGAUUGCGCAAGGCUUUGAGUGGCGGGGGGGAGGCCAAGGCAGGAGACCGGCCUCUGAAAGCGGUCCUGGGGUGGGAGGACGAGAAGGAGGAGGAGGAGGAGGUGCCUCCAGCCGUCCCCUGCACGCAGAUGGAGUCCACACUUUUGCUAAGGAGAAGACAGUCAGUUCGGAGCUCCUGCACGCUGUGACGACCAGGCGCGAAAACAUGACACGGUGCCGUGGAUGGAGAAGUCCAUCGAUGACCCCCGCGGCAGCGCACGCCCUUCCCGACCCGCCGCGCGCGCGCCCCCGCAUGUCACCCGGCGGGACUCGAUGGAGGAAUCGGAGGAAGCAGAGACCAGAGACGACGACCUCUGUGAUGACGGCGGAGGUGCCGCUGUGGGCGCUCCUGUUUC